UACGUAGGGGGCAAGCGUUGUUCGGAAUUACUGGGCGUAAAGGGCGCGUAGGCGGCACAGCAAGUCGGGCGUGAAAGCCCGGGGCUCAACCCCGGAAUGGCUUUCGAAACUGCUGAGCUAGAGUACAGAGGGGGCAACCGGAAUUCCCAGUGUAGCGGUGAAAUGCGUAGAUAUUGGGAAGAACACCUGAGGCGAAGGCGGGUUGCUGGGCUGAUACUGACGCUGAGGCGCGAAAGCCAGGGGAGCAAACGGG
rnacentral:rRNA from 1 species